UACGUAGGGUGCGAGCGUUAAUCGGAAUUACUGGGCGUAAAGCGUGCGCAGGCGGUUUUGUAAGCCAGAUGUGAAAUCCCCGGGCUUAACCUGGGAAUGGCAUUUGGGACUGCAAGGCUUGAGUGCGGCAGAGGAGACUGGAAUUCCUGGUGUAGCAGUGAAAUGCGUAGAUAUCAGGAGGAACACCGGUGGCGAAGGCGGCUCUCUGGGACGGUACUGACGCUGAGACGCGAAAGCGUGGGGAGCGAACAGG
rnacentral:rRNA from 1 species